GAUGAACGCUGGCGGCGUGCCUAAUACAUGCAAGUCGAGCGAACAGACGAGGAGCUUGCUCCUCUGACGUUAGCGGCGGACGGGUGAGUAACACGUGGAUAACCUACCUAUAAGACUGGGAUAACUUCGGGAAACCGGAGCUAAUACCGGAUAAUAUAUUGAACCGCAUGGUUCAAUAGUGAAAGACGGUUUUGCUGUCACUUAUAGAUGGAUCCGCGCCGCAUUAGCUAGUUGGUAAGGUAACGGCUUACCAAGGCAACGGUGCGUAGCCGACCUGAGAGGGGUAGCGGGCCACACGGGACGAGAGAACGGGCCAGGCCCCUGAGGGGGGGGACAGGGGGGAAUUCUCCACAAAGGGCCAAAGGCGGGAGGGGCAACCGCCGGGGGGGGAAAGAAGGUGUUGGUAUCAAAAACCUUUUUUAUGGGGAAAAAAAAAGUGUGAAAGAAAAAAGGCGGGCCUGAAGGGACCCAAAUAAAAAGCCCACGGAAAACCCGGGC
rnacentral:rRNA from 1 species